rnacentral:rRNA from 1 species
UACGUAGGGUGCAAGCGUUGUCCGGAAUUAUUGGGCGUAAAGAGCUCGUAGGCGGCUUGUCGCGUCGGCUGUGAAAACCCGGGGCUCAACCCCGGGCCUGCAGUCGAUACGGGCAGGCUAGAGUCCGGCAGGGGAGACUGGAAUCCCUGGUGUAGCGGUGAAAUGCGCAGAUAUCAGGAGGAACACCGGUGGCGAAGGCGGGUCUCUGGGCCGGAACUGACGCUGAGGAGCGAAAGCGUGGGGAGCGAACAGG